rnacentral:rRNA from 1 species
GACGGAGGAUGCAAGCGUUAUCCGGCAUGAUUGGGCGUAAAGCGUCCGCAGGUGGCAGUUCAAGUCUGCUGUCAAAGACCGGGGCUUAACUUCGGAAAGGCAGUGGAAACUGAACAGCUAGAGUAUGGUAGGGGCAGAGGGAAUUCCUGGUGUAGCGGUGAAAUGCGUAGAGAUCAGGAAGAACAUCGGUGGCGAAGGCGCUCUGCUGGACCAUAACUGACACUCAGGGACGAAAGCUAGGGGAGCGAAUGGG